ACCCGGUGUCUCGUCUCUCCGUCUUCCUGUUCCAAACCACGUGGACGCGCCGGGGGCUGCGGGGUUGCGGGAGGGAGCCCUGGUCGCCACCGUCGCCGCCGCCGCCGCCGCCGGGUUUGCGACCCCCGCGCCAGUCCGAAGUCACCGCGCCCCGGCCGCCCGUACCUUUGUGGAGGGCGCGCACAUGGCGACCCAGGCGCACUCCCUCAGCUACGCGGGCUGCAACUUCUUGCGCCAGCGUCUGGUCCUGUCCACUCUGAGCGGGCGCCCAGUCAAAAUCCGAAAGAUUCGCGCCAGAGACGACAACCCGGGCCUCCGAGAUUUUGAAGCCAGCUUCAUAAGGCUCUUGGACAAAAUAACUAAUGGUUCUCGAAUCGAAAUAAAUCAAACAGGAACGACGUUAUAUUAUCAGCCUGGCCUCCUGUAUGGUGGAUCUGUGGAACAUGACUGUAGUGUCCUUCGCAGCAUUGGCUAUUACCUGGAGAGUCUUCUUUGCCUGGCUCCAUUUAUGAAGCACCCGUUAAGAAUAGUUCUGCGAGGAGUGACCAAUGACCAGACUGACCCUUCGGUUGAUGUUCUUAAGGCAACAGCCCUUCCUCUACUGAAACAGUUUGGGAUUGAUGGUGAAUCGUUUGAGCUAAAGAUUGUGCGACGGGGAAUGCCUCCUGGAGGAGGAGGUGAAGUGUUUUUCUCAUGCCCUGUGAGGAAAGUCCUGAAGCCCAUUCAGCUCACAGAUCCAGGAAAAAUCAAACGUAUCAGAGGAAUGGCGUACUCCGUGCGUGUAUCACCUCAGAUGGCGAACCGGAUUGUAGAUUCUGCAAGGAGCAUCCUCAACAAGUUUAUACCCGAUAUCUAUAUUUAUACAGACCACAUGAAAGGAGUCAAUUCUGGGAAGUCUCCAGGCUUUGGGUUGUCGCUGGUUGCUGAGACCACCAAUGGCACCUUCCUCAGUGCUGAACUGGCCUCCAACCCCCAGGGUCAAGGAACAGCGGUGCUUCCAGAGGACGUCGGCAGGAACUGUGCCAGGCUGCUGCUUGAAGAAAUCUAUAGGGGGGGAUGUGUGGACUCGACCAACCAAAGCCUGGCUCUGUUGCUUAUGACCCUUGGACAGCAGGACGUUUCCAAAGUCCUGCUAGGACCACUCUCUCCCUACACCGCUUUCAGCAGUUGCUGAUGACCAGAGCUUCCUGCGUUCUGCCAGCAUACAGGCGUUGGAGUCCAUUCUAUCUGGAUUUCAGCUCUGGCUCUACCCUGGAGCACCAGGAGACCAUGGACAAAGUAUUUAGCAUCUCUGAGCCUCUGUCGCAUCUGCAGAGAAGGAUAGAAUUUUUGCGGCAUUUGAAGAGCUUUUUCCAGAUUAUGUUUAAAAUUGAAACCAGGCCAUGUGGUGAAGAACUAAAGGGUGGGGAUAAAGUGCUGAUGACCUGUGUUGGCAUUGGCUUCUCCAACCUUAGCAAGACCCUGAAGUGAUACUGUCACAAGAGAAGGCCCCAGUGCUGACAGACAAAGCAGAAGCUGCCAUGGACACGAAAUGGACCAAGUCCAAAUUUAUCCAGGACAGGAUAACCUCUUAUAUUAAGGACUUAUUAUUAAUUUUACAUUAAAAAAAAGUCAGAAUAUCCAAAUAGAAGACAUCUCUAUAUCAUGUGGUUUCCAGCCAUUUCUCCAGUGGCAUUGACGUUCCUCAGGAGGCCCCGCCGUGACGAGAGCUCCCUUGGCUUACCUGGACAAAGAGUGUGCCUUCAGGACACAGUUGUGCUGCUAGAAAAACAUCACAGCUGUUUCCUCAGCCCACACCCCGGGCUUCUGUCAUAUGGCCGUUUUCCAGACCUGUGGAGACUGUUACUGUUCUUUCUGCAAGGACUGACCUCUUUCAGCCUCAAUUUCUGUGUAGGGAUUAAAUGAGACAAUAUGGGUAGGGGCUCUUUAUGAGCAGUGCAGUGCUAUGCAAGUGUCAGAGACUGGUAUAUUAGACUGUGUGAUCCCUUGUCUUCUGAAUGGACUGCUGUCUUGGAGACAAAUACUGCUCCCUCUCUGGUUCGUUGUAUGGGUAUGUGGGGGGAUGAGUGUGUGUGGAGGGCAGAGCUCCAAUUAAAGUUAUUGGAUAUUUUCCAGA